rnacentral:rRNA from 1 species
CGAGGAAUCUUGGGCAAUGGGCGAAAGCCUGACGACGCAACGCCGCGUGGAGGAUGAAGACUUUCGGGUCGUAAACUCCUUUCGACCGAGAUGAAUACCCGCCGACCUAAUACGUCGGCGGGCUGCCAGUAUCGAGGGAAGAAGCCCCGGCUAACUCCGUGCCAGCAGCCGCGGUAAUACGUAGGGUGCAAGCGUUAAUCGGAAUUACUGGGCGUAAAGCGUACGCAGGCGGCUUUGCAAGACAGGUGUGAAAUCCCCGGGCCUAACCUGGGAACUGCAUUUGUGACUGCAUGGCUAGAGUCUGUCAGAGGGGGGUGGAAUUCCACGUGUAGCAGUGAAAUGCGUAGAGAUGUGGAAGAACACCGAUGGCGAAGGCAGCCCCCUGGGAUAAGACUGACGCUCAUGUACGAAAGCGUGGGGAGCAA